rnacentral:rRNA from 1 species
GCAAGUCGAGCGUGAAACUUCCUUCGGGGAGGAGUAAAGCGGCGGACGGGUGAGUAACGCGCAGGAAUCUGCCCAAAAGAGGGGGAUAACUUGGGGAAACCCAAGCUAAUACCGCAUAUACCUGAGGGUGAAAGGUGGGGAUCUUCGGACCUACCGCUUUUGGAGGAGCCUGCGUCGGAUUAGCUAGUUGGUGGGGUAAAGGCCUACCAAGGCGACGGUCCGUAGCUGGUCUGAGAGGAUGGCC